GUUAAUGAUACUCCUCUUUCCAUUAAGUUUGCAGGUGGCAAGUGGGAGAAGAGGCUGUAAUGUUAAUUUGGUUCCAGAAGCUGAGAUCUUUGCCAGGGUCCAUGCUGCCUCCUUGGGGCUUGCAGAGUCGAGCCAUGGCCUGGCACAGCUGAAGGCUCUUCCUCCUCUCACCUACACUUGACUUUUAAUGAAGACUGCCCAGUAAGGAGUAUUGUGGCUAUUUGAGUUGAUGUUGAUGUUGAGCAAAGACCAGAUUAAUAAAAACAAAGAUGCUGGCUUACCCAAGACUGACCUCAAAGGAGACCUCAUGGAGUGAAGUGGUCAAGGUGCCUGUGGUCCACAGCAUGCAGUAGGUCUCUGAGGAAAUCUGGAGGGACUCUGGAAGCUGAAGAUUCAGAAUGUCCCAACUUAUACCUGCUACAGCCUUUGCUGCUCGACUGAUGGGUGCCAGGAGGAUGUGGACUGUUGUCUGCCUCCCCGGCUCCUCUCGUGAACCUGUUGAUCUCUGGCAGCAUUUAACAGCCUUGGUCCACACGCAUGUUGGGGUGUUAGCAUGAGACACACUCGGAUCCGGAAGCUCUGAAGGAGAUUGCCGCCACAUUUCAGGAACCCUAAGAGGAUCAGGGAGGCACUGUACACCAAGGACUCGGCGCAGUGCCCAGUAGGCAGCAAUACCUCUCC
rnacentral:lncRNA from 1 species